rnacentral:misc_RNA from 1 species
GAAAAAGGAUAAAAUAUGGCAUUCUAAACAACAUAGGUCUCAUAAUGUUCUCGACGGUGCUUCUGUCUCUUGUGGAUUGCUGUGCAUGGAAAAUUGUUAGAUUGCCACUGGCUCCACUUUACCUAAUGCGUCCCUUUCUCAUCUCCGCAGUGGCAGUGUCUUGUGUAGGUUAUGUCUGUGUCCCGUUAUUUCGUAGUUUGAAACUCCACUCUGUAAUCAGGAAGGAGGGGCCUGCUCGGCACUCUAGUAAGAAAGGCACUGCUACAAUGGGC